GAUGAACGCUGGCGGCGUGCCUAAUACAUGCAAGUCGAGCGAACAGACGAGGAGCUUGCUCCUCUGACGUUAGCGGCGGACGUGUGAGUAACACGUGGAUAACCUACCUAUAAGACUGGGAUAACUUCGGGAAACCGGAGCUAAUACCGGAUAACAUGUUGAACCGCAUGGUUCAACAGUGAAAGACGGUUUUGCUGUCACUUAUAGAUGGAUCCGCGUCGCAUUAGCUAGUUGGUAAGGUAACGGCUUACCAAGGCAACGAUGCGUAGCCGACCUGAGAGGGUGAUCGGCCACACUGGAACUGAGACACGGUCCAGACUCCUACGGGAGGCAGCAGUAGGGAAUCUUCCGCAAUGGGCGAAAGCCUGACGGAGCAACGCCGCGUGAGUGAAGAAGGUCUUCGGAUCGUAAAACUCUGUUAUUAGGGAAGAACAAAUGUGUAAGUAACUAUGCACGUCUUGACGGUACCUAAUCAGAAAGCCACGGCUAACUACGUG
rnacentral:rRNA from 1 species